AGUGAACGCUGGCGGUAGGCCUAACACAUGCAAGUCGAACGGCAGCACAGUAAGAGCUUGCUCUUACGGGUGGCGAGUGGCGGACGGGUGAGGAAUACAUCGGAAUCUACUUUUUCGUGGGGGAUAACGUAGGGAAACUUACGCUAAUACCGCAUACGACCUACGGGUGAAAGCAGGGGAUCUUCGGACCUUGCGCGAUUGAAUGAGCCGAUGUCGGAUUAGCUAGUUGGCGGGGUAAAGGCCCACCAAGGCGACGAUCCGUAGCUGGUCUGAGAGGAUGAUCAGCCACACUGGAACUGAGACACGGUCCAGACUCCUACGGGAGGAAGCAGUGGGAAUAUUGGACAAUGGGCGCAAGCCUGAUCCAGCCAUACCGCGUGGGUGAAGAAGGCCUUCGGGUUGUAAAGCCCUUUUGUUGGGAAAGAAAAGCAGCAGGUUAAUACCCCGCUGUUCUGACGGUACCCAAAGAAUAAGCACCGGCUAACUUCGU
rnacentral:rRNA from 1 species